GACGAACGCUGGCGGCGUGCUUAACACAUGCAAGUCGAACGGAAAGGCCUCUUUCGGGGGGUACUCGAGUGGCGAACGGGUGAGUAACACGUGAGUAACCUGCCCUUGACUUUGGGAUAACUUCAGGAAACUGGGGCUAAUACCGGAUAGGAGCUCCUGCUGCAUGGUGGGGGUUGGAAAGUUUCGGCGGUUGGGGAUGGAUUCGCGGCUUAUCAGCUUGUUGGUGGGGUAGUGGCUUACCAAGGCUUUGACGGGUAGCCGGCCUGAGAGGGUGACCGGCCACAUUGGGACUGAGAUACGGCCCAGACUCCUACGGGAGGCAGCAGUGGGGAAUAUUGCACAAUGGGUGGAAGCCUGAUGCAGCAACGCCGUGUGCGGGAUGACGGCCUUCGGGUUGUAAACCGCUUUCGCUCAUGACGAAGCUUUGUGUGACGGUAGUGGGUAAAGAAGCACCGGCUAACUACGUG
rnacentral:rRNA from 1 species